rnacentral:misc_RNA from 1 species
GCACAUCGAAAAUGGAUUUCACCGCUCUUUCUGCGCACGCGCGAGGAGCAGUAGUUGCGAGGGAGAAAUAUGGGGACUUUUGGUGCUCAAAAUUUCUCUUCGCCUAGGUACUACGGGGAAGAAAGCUGUUAGCUCUGUUUGUCCCUAGCCGAGCUUGCAGCACAGAAUCGACAGGAUGCGUGGGCGGCAAGACGAAAAAGCCGCGUCCGAGGUUGUGGACGCUUCCAGACACAAGACUGAUUUAUGCAGCAGGCGCUCCUUGGCUGCAUCUGCAAUGCUAGCUCAAGGCGAGAAUGCUUUGGGCACGUUGCCAUCUGCGUCCACAGUCAUCCUGGCACAACUGCCAUGGGACACAAACUGACUGCUGUUACUGAACAGCGCUCCGUGGCAUUCAAGUGAAGAAUGAUCUUGAUCGUCACUUAUACGAAUAAUCAUUUGGUUGUAUGGCUGGGAUUCCUAGGUCAUGUGAAUUGCAGUGGAGCUACUUAGUGUAGUGACUGACUUGGGGCUGCUCAAUAGUCUUUUUUUUUUUGAUGCCACUCUAAUGUCCGCCAAAUAAAAGAAAAUGUUUCUUUCUA